CCGCUCACCGAUUGGACGACUUCCGGUUGGCGUCGAGUUCGCGCUUGCGCAGCAGGAAGCCCUCGUGCUGCACUGUAAUGUAAGCAACACAAGAGCAAGGACCUGGCCUUGUUCACCGUCUGGCACAGAGAAAGCCUUCAAUAAAGAUUUGCUGAGUAAAUGAAGUGGUUCCGGCAAAUGAUUCCCGGGCUGAGUGAUAGAAGGACCCUGGGUCCCAAUCACCAUGGGAUGGGCUCCUGCUGGACACCCACACUGAACCAUGAGGUGACAAUAAAUCAGCACCUACUUCAAGUCACCGAGAUGCUGGGAUGGUCUGUUACAGUUGGUUGCCUACCCUGACAAAUACCAACCCCUAGCCUGCUUUUAGCCUGUCCUCUGCCCCCAAGACCAGGUCUGACAGCACUCGAGACAGUGCCAGGCACACAGAGGGGCUGGCUGUCAUGAUUUCUUAGGGGAAGGGGGCUGUUGAUGGGCUGGCGGCUUCCCGGACGCAGGUAGGAAGCCCGAGGUGGGAUGAGGGGCACCUGGGCUUGUCAGCCGCCCCAAUCUGGCUGGCGAUGCCGUCCAUCCAGGAGAGCAGGUCGCGGGCCUGGCUGUGGAAGUGCAGGGCGUCGGCCGUGGAACUGACGUGCAGGCGGGCAUCCUCACAGGCUGCCAGCAGCUCCUUCCAGCCCUGCAGCACCUCGUGCUCCCGGCUGGCGAUGGCCUCUGCAUGCUCCCCCGCGUACACCGUCCGCAGCUGGGCUGCCCCCUCCUGCAGCUGCCGCACCUGAGGGGCGUACCAGGUCGGGAGCCCACCCUCCAGGGGGCCCGGGCUCCACCUGCUCUUUCUCCCUGCUGCUGGCUGGGUGCAGGGC